UUUAUAAUAAUUAUGUUUAGUUUUAAAUGUUACGUCUGGAAGAGUGAAUGGAGGUGCGCGUUGCGUGACAAGCGUUGAGUGAAUGUUUAGAUUAUUGGUUCGAACGUCGAGCGGAUGUUUAUAUGAUUGGGUCGAAUGUUCCUUUGGGUGAAUGCAUUUAUUUAAACAGAGUGCAAGCGUUGUGAGAAUGAAGGAAGAAUGUCUGCGAUGAUUGGGGGAACGAAUGAUGAGUCUAUAAGCUAGUCUAGUAAGAGAAGCCACGGAGUACAGACGCGAUCGUUCCAUUAAAAAGUCUUAAAAAGCACAUGAGUCUUACUUAUUUUCCCGUCAGCCACUACAAUAUAUAAUACAUAGCAAAUAUACUGCACAUAUUAUAUAAAUAUUUAUAUGUAUCAAACAUGCAGUUGAUACAUAUUGGACAAGAUAUAAUGCGUAUCAUAUUUACUAGCUGGCGCCAUGAAAGUCGAGCAUGUUUUUGUUAUUAUGCAGCAAUUUAUUGAAUAAAGUGUUGGUUAGAUAGGUGAAAAAUGAUUUAGUUAGUCGAAACAAUUAGAUGGAUAAAAAAAAUUAGCGUACUAAUGGUAUUAAUUCUUUCAUAAAUGGUUGUAAAUAUUCAUUGGCAUUGUUUGGUUUCUUUUGAUCUUAAAAUAUCCCAAUUACAUGCACUUGUUUUGAAAUAUCAUAUUGGCCAGAAAACACUUGGCGAUGAUUUGAAUAUUGUGACAAUAAUAAUGAAGAAGGACAUAACACAUGAGAAGUAACCACAGUCGAUGAAGAUUCUAUUGAUAUUGAAGAACAAGGGGAAAUGCAAUUUAAUCAUUAAACUGUGACAGUUCAAGUGAUGAUGCAGGUGCUUUUGAAAACACCUAAGAAAACUGCUGAAAUAGUGUAUUAGCUGGAGGAUCAUAUUAUCACGUUGGUCUAUAGAAACAAUCCUGCAAUUAAAAGUAGCUAGUAUUUACCAUUAU